rnacentral:rRNA from 1 species
GGGAGGUAGUGACAAUAAAUAACAAUACGGGGUUCUAUAGGAUUUCGUAAUUGGAAUGAGUACAAUUUAAAUCUCUUAACGAUCAACAAUUGGAGGGCAAGUCUGGUGCCAGCAGCCGCGGUAAUUCCAGCUCCAAUAGCGUAUAUUAAAGUUGUUGCAGUUAAAAAGCUCGUAGUUGAAUUUCGGGGUUAGUAGGUUGGUCAUGCCUCUGGUAUGUACUGGUCCCACUGAUUCCUCCCUCUUGACGAACUGUAAUGUCAUUAAUUUGGUGUUGCAGGAAGUCAGGACUGUUACUUUGAAAAAAAUUAGAGUGUUUAAAGCAGGCUAAGGCUUGAAUACAUUAGCAUGGAAUAAUGAAAUAGGACGUUUGAUCCUAUUUUGUUGGUUUCUAGGAUUGACGUAAUGAUUAAUAGGGAUAGUUGGG